rnacentral:rRNA from 1 species
CCCCUGAGACCGGGAUAGCGUCGGGAAACUGGCAGUAAUACCGGAUAAUGUCUUAGGACCAAAGGUGUGAUUCCACUUGGGGAUGAGUCUACGCCCUAUUAGCUAGUUGGUGGGGUAAUGGCCUACCAAGGCGAUGAUGGGUAGCGGGUGUGAGGGCAUGAUCCGCCUCACUGGGACUGAGAACUGCCCAGACACCUACGGGUGGCUGCAGUCGAGAAUCUUUGUCAAUGGACGAAAGUCUGAACAAGCGACGCCGCGUGCGGGAUGAAGGCCUUCGGGUUGUAAACCGCUGUCGUAGGGGAACAAAUGUACGGGGGUACUCCCCUGUAUUUGAGUGAUCCUAGGAGGAAGGAGAGGCUAAGCUCGUGCCAGCAGCCGCGGUAAGACGAGCUCUCCAAACGUUAUUCGGUAUCACUGGGCUUAAAGAGUUCGUAGGCGGCCUAGCAGGUCAGGUGUGAAAUCCCACAGCUCAACUGUGGAAUAGCGCUUGAAACCGUUAGGCUUGAGGGAGAUAGAGGUAGGCGGAACAGAUGGUGGAGCGGUGAAAUGCGUUGAUAUCAUCUGGAACACCGGUGGCGAAAGCGGCCUACUGGGUCUUUUCUGACGCUGAGGAACGAAAGCUAGGGUAGCGAACGGGAUUAGAUACCCCGGUAGUCCUAGCCGUAAACGAUGAGCACUAGUCCGAGGGAACCCUCACAUUUUCUCGGACGUAGCGAAAGUGUUAAGUGCUCCGC